rnacentral:rRNA from 1 species
UGAGGAAUAGAUAGGAACGUACCCUGUGCUCUGGGAUAGCGUCUGAAGCUUCGGCUUCUUCCGAAAGGGGCGGUAAUACCAGAUAAUGUCCUUCGGGACCAAAGAUUUAUCGGCAUUGGAGCGGCCUAUCUCCUAUCAGCUUGUUGGUGAGGUAACGGCUCACCAAGGCAACGACGGGUAGCGGGACUGAGAGGUUGGCCCGCCACAUCGGGACUGAGACACUGCCCGGACCUCCACGGAGGGCUGCAGUAACGGAUAUUGGGCAAUGGGCGAAAGCCUGACCCAGCAAUGCCGCGUGCAGGAUGAAGCCCCUAGGGGUGUAAACUGCUGUCAGGGGUCAGAAAGCUGGUUUCGGCCAGUUGAUCAACCCCAGAGGAAGUCACGGCUAACUUCGUGCCAGCAGCCGCGGUAAUACGAAGGUGGCAAGCGUUAUUCGGAAUCAUUGGGCUUAAAGGGCACGCAGGCGGAACAGUGUGUGUUGUGUGAAAUCCCCCGGCUUGACCGGGGAAUUGCACAGCAAACUGCUGUUCUUGAGGCAGGUAGGGGUGCAUGGAACUCUUGGUGGAGCGGUGGAAUGCGUAGAUAUCAAGAGGAACGCCAGAGGUGAAGACGGUGCACUGGGCCUGUCCUGACGCUGAGGUGCGAAAGCGUGGGGAGCGAACGGGAUUAGAUACCCCGGUAGUCCACGCCGUAAACGAUGUCUACUAGGUCGUGGGUGUUCUGACACAUUCACGGCCGGAGCAAAAGUGUUUAGUAGACCGCCUGGGGAGUACGGCCGCAAGGUUAAAACUCAAAUGAAUUGACGGGGGCUCACACAAGCGGUGGAGCAUGUGGAUUAAUUCGAAGCAACGCGCAGAACCUUACCUGGGUUUGACAUGCUUGUAUGCCUUCUCUGAAAGGAGUUAGGCUGCCUUCGGGCGAAACUUGCACAGGUGCUGCAUGGCUGUCGUCAGCUCGUGUCAUGAGAUGUCGGGUUAAGUCCU